GGAUGGUUGAAAUAUGAUGUGCUACAAAAUAAUUGAUUUUAAGUGAAAAAUAGUAAGAUCCAACUCUGAUUUCAUCCAGAC